rnacentral:lncRNA from 10 species
ACCCUAGUAAUUCACAAUAUUAAAAAAAUAUAUAUUCUUAAGGAGAUAAAGCACACUUCUGCCUGUAAUCCCAGCACUUUGGGAGGCUGAGGUGGGUGGAUUGCUUGAGCCUAGGAGUUUGAGGCCAGCCUGGGCAAUAUGGUGAAACUCUGUCUCUACAAAACAUACAAAAAAUUUAGCUGGGCAUUGUGACGUGCACCUGUAGUCCCAGCUACUUGGGAGGCUGAGGUGGGAGGAUUGCUUGAGCCUGGGAGGUGGAGGUUGCAAUGAGCCAUAAUCACACCAUUGCACUCCAGCCUAGGCAACAGAGUGACACUGUGUAAAAAAAAAAAAAAAAAGAAGCAUGCUUCUAAUACUUUAUUAAUUUAUUUAUUUUGAGGCAGAGUUUUGCUCUGUUACUCAGGCUGGAGUGCAGUGGUGUGAUCAUGGCUCACUGCAACCUCCACCUCCCAGGCUCAAGCAAUCCUCCCAUCUCAGCCUCCCAGGUAGCUGGGAUUACAGGCAUGUGCCACCACAUCCAGCUAAUUUUUGUAUUUUUUUGUAGAGAUGGGGUUUCUCCAUGUUGCCCAGGCUGAUCUCAAACUCCUGACCUCAAGCAAUCUGCUCACUUCAGCCUCCCAAAGUGCUGGGAUUACAGGUGUGAGCC